UGGAAUCAAUAAAUUCAACCGAGAAAGGGAGGAAACACACAAAAAACUUCAGUAAUGCAUUUCAGCUGACUUAUAAAAAAACCAAAAGGUACACCUGCUCUCCCAUAAUCCUAACUCAAAAAACAAAAAAUCCUGUAAUUAUUCCAAGCCAGCAUUUUGACUAGUUACAUAAGAACGCAAAUCAAAUGCGUCGACCCUUCCACUAGAACUCACUCUCCCAUGUCUAUUCAUAGCUGUAUGGCUUGUCACUUGAGGAAAUAAGGCCCGUCUAAUUCUUAAUGGAACCAAACUGUGGCUGCUUAAUUUCGCCCAGAGGUUACAACUGAAUGAUACACUUAACAAAUCAGCCAUUAUGACUCGCCACCUCCAAACAUACCCAUCAUAUCCUUGCCAGAACCCAUUUGCUUCAUCAAGUUAUUUCCAGCCAAAGUGGUCAAUCUCAAAAGGGCCAACCUUGCUUUCUACAGCCCCCAUGUCCUUUCUGGUGCUGAACUGGUGGUGCUCACUGUCACUGCUCAGCAAAUUGCAUUCUUUACUAAGCCCAUGACCUGUAUUACCUCACCAGAACCACAGGACAGAUAAGUGGUCGGGUGGUGGGUGUGAGGCGGUCAGGCGCGAAUGUUCCAGCGUACAGGACAAGCCGGUGCCGGAUCUCGAGCCGGAGGGGGGCGCGGUGGUUCGCCGGUCGGAAAGAAGGAGGGCAGCAGAGAGAGAGGGAAGUCGCGGUCCUCUCGCCGGUCCCGUGCGGUGGUUCGUCGGUUUCAAGUAAUCGUUCGCCGGUCGGAAAGAAGGAGGGCAGCAGAGAGAGAUGGAAGUCGCGGUCCUCUCGCCGGUCCCGUGCGGUGGUUCGUCGGUUGCAGGCAAUCGUUCGCCGGUCGGAAAGAAGGAGGGCAGCAGAGAGAGAGGGAAGUCGCGGUCCUCUCGCCGGUCCCGUGCGGUGGUUCGUCGGUUUCAGGUAAUCGUUCGCCGGUCGGAAAGAAGGAGGGCAGCAGAGAGAGAUGGAAGUCGCGUUCCUCUCGCCGGUCCCGUGCAGUGGUUCGUCGGUUGCAGGCAAUCGUUCGCCGGUCGGAAAGAGAGAGGGCAGAGAGAGAGGGAGGUCGCAGAGAGGGACUUCGUCGGGAGAGAGAGCGAGUGUAGAGAGAGAGGCGCAAUAAAAGAAC
rnacentral:lncRNA from 1 species